rnacentral:lncRNA from 1 species
GUGGCUAACUGGACUUCAGAUCACACCGGUGUGUUUGUAAAGGUGGCUAACUGGACUUCACACCGUAGAGAUUUUAUGGCUCAGUCUGUUGUUUUCUAUGUUGUAUUUUAUGUACUUUUGUGUGUACGCUCGUCUUUCUUUAUAUUUUUUUUUCAUGUUUUGCCAUGGCGUUAUUAGUUUAUGUUUCGACAUUUGACUUUGAAUAUGCCUUUUG